AAGAAAUUUUGAUCUUAUUUGUUCGUUAACAAAUCGUAAUUUUUUUUUUUUUUAAUUUUUAUUAAUUAACCCCGAAAUGGGCUGGGCCCUUGACGGGCCGGGCAAAAACUUUACAGAAACGAAACUUCAGAAGUCCAAAAGAGGAAAACGGAAAAACUUCCGACGACGAGGUUAACGGCUCGGAUCUUGCUGUAUAACCGGAGGCAGAGAGUCAGGGUACCAAAUCCGGCGGAAUCAAGGAGCACGGCGUUGCGGCAGAGCCAAGGGGAAGGGGAGAUCCGAAGGGAGAAACCGGUUCCCGACAUCGACCCCAACCCACCGGCCGACCAACCUGCUACACUCCUCCCGGAGUACCCAACCAACCAACAAUCGGUUCCGAGAAACCGGAUCCCACGCCUAGCAAUCCGACCACCGGGAAUCUAACCCCACCAACCAAAACCAAAAGCCUCGAGUUCCCCUGAGCAGAAAACUUCUCAGCCGGACCGAAAGAAACCACUUACGGCAGAUCCGGAGGUUGAUGGCUCAGACAAACACUCCUGACCCGGAACCCGCAGCGGUCGUCAAAGGAUCAAGAGAUCCUCCGUAAACCAUUGAAUCAAAACAAAAACCCACCUCUCCUUCACCGACUUCCGCCGUAGCCGGAGCGACCAGAAGGACGGGCGAGCCAUGCAGAAAGUCGGAUACAACCACCAGCGUCUUCAAACCGGGGUCUAGCGCAUCAGAUCCUCCCCCGCCCGAUUGGAACCGCCGCUACAUCCGUGAAGAAGAUCUCCACCACCGUUGUUGGAGAAAAGAACAAAUUGUAAUUUUCUUUUUUGGUAUUCUCUGGUGGUGAUUUAUUUUGACAAAAUCAUCACUAAGUUCUUGUUUUAUCAGGUUGAAAUCAACUAAUUUUAACAUUUAAUACUAGAAUGAUUCC
rnacentral:lncRNA from 1 species